UACGUAGGGUGCAAGCGUUUGUCCGGAAUUAUUGGGCGUAAAGAGCUCGUAGGCGGUUUGUCGCGUCUGCCGUGAAAGUCCGGGGCUCAACUCCGGAUCUGCGGUGGGUACGGGCAGACUAGAGUGACGUAGGGGAGACUGGAAUUCCUGGUGUAGCGGUGAAAUGCGCAGAUAUCAGGAAGAACACCCGUGGCUAAGGCGGCUCUCUAGUACGGUACUGACGCUGAGACGCGAAAAGCGUGGGGAGCGAACAGG
rnacentral:rRNA from 1 species